UCUGCUGUUUAAAAAUAACACAAAUACAUUUGCGGACCAGGCUCCCGCUGCGCAGAGCCAACCAUGUUUACAUUUGGCAUUUGGUCAGAAAGACCAUCAUGGUUAACUACGCUGUCUAAUCUCUCGUUGUUCCCAGGGACCAGCCAAUCCGCUGGCGAACCCCUAUUAUCUGCUACUCUUGUGUGGAUGAACACACGUACGUGGUCGAUGAAGGCUGAUACAUGAUGCUGAUGAUGAUAAUAUAUUUAUUUUACUUUGAGGGAUCCAGCGUUUCAAAAAGCAUUUCUGGUAAGCAAAAUCUCCCCGAGUUGGUUGAUAACUCAUAAGAUAAGAGCUCUCUGGAUUUUUUUUUUUUUUUUUUUUUUUUUUUUUUUCAUUGUCAAUCAACCCAGGCGAGAAAGGCGGUGUAAAUAAGAAACACACACAAUAAAUUUGAUAAAAUUCGGCCGGCAUCCUCUGCCUGGCUGGAACUGGCUGGAACCCGUAGCUGGUGAG
rnacentral:sRNA from 1 species